rnacentral:rRNA from 1 species
GACGAACGCUGGCGGCGUGCCUAAUACAUGCAAGUAGAACGCACAGUUUAUACCGUAGCUUGCUACACCAUAAACUGUGAGUUGCGAACGGGUGAGUAACGCGUAGGUAACCUGCCUGGUAGCGGGGGAUAACUAUUGGAAACGAUAGCUAAUACCGCAUAAUAUUGAUUAUUGCAUGAUAAUUGAUUGAAAGAUGCUAUUGCAUCACUACCAGAUGGACCUGCGUUGUAUUAGCUAGUAGGUGAGGUAACGGCUCACCUAGGCGACGAUACAUAGCCGACCUGAGAGGGUGAUCGGCCACACUGGGACUGGGACACGGCCCAGACUCCUACGGGAGGCAGCAGUAGGGAAUCUUCGGCAAUGGACGAAAGUCUGACCGAGCAACGCCGCGUGAGUGAAGAAGGUUUUCGGAUCGUAAAGCUCGGUUGUAAGAGAAGAACGGGUGUGAGAGUGGAAAGUUCACACUGUGACGGUAUCUUACCAGAAAGGGACGGCUAACUACGUG